rnacentral:rRNA from 1 species
GAUGAACGCUGGCGGCGUGCCUAAUACAUGCAAGUCGAGCGAACAGACGAGGAGCUUACUCCUCUGACGUUAGCGGCGGACGGGUGAGUAACACGUGGAUAACCUACCUAUAAGACUGGGAUAACUUCGGGAAACCGGAGCUAAUACCGGAUAACAUGUUGAACCGCAUGGUUCAACAGUGAAAGACGGUCUUGCUGUCACUUAUAGAUGGAUCCGCGUCGCAUUAGCUAGUUGGUAAGGUAACGGCUUACCAAGGCAACGAUGCGUAGCCGACCUGAGAGGGUGAUCGGCCACACUGGAACUGAGACACGGUCCAGACUCCUACGGGAGGCAGCAGUAGGGAAUCUUCCGCAAUGGGCGAAAGCCUGACGGAGCAACGCCGCGUGAGUGAAGAAGGUCUUCGGAUCGUAAAACUCUGUUAUUAGGGAAGAACAAAUGUGUAAGUAACUAUGCACGUCUUGACGGUACCUAAUCAGAAAGCCACGGCUAACUACGUGCCAGCAGCCGCGGUAAUACGUAGGUGGCAAGCGUUAUCCGGAAUUAUUGGGCGUAAAGCGCGCGUAGGCGGUUUUUUAAGUCUGAUGUGAAAGCCCACGGCUCAACCGUGGAGGGUCAUUGGAAACUGGAAAACUUGAGUGCAGAAGAGGAAAGUGGAAUUCCAUGUGUAGCGGUGAAAUGCGCAGAGAUAUGGAGGAACACCAGUGGCGAAGGCGACUUUCUGGUCUGUAACUGACGCUGAUGUGCGAAAGCGUGGGGAUCAAACAGGAUUAGAUACCCUGGUAGUCCACGCCGUAAACGAUGAGUGCUAAGUGUUAGGGGGUUUCCGCCCCUUAGUGCUGCAGCUAACGCAUUAAGCACUCCGCCUGGGGAGUACGACCGCAAGGUUGAAACUCAAAGGAAUUGACGGGGACCCGCACAAGCGGUGGAGCAUGUGGUUUAAUUCGAAGCAACGCGGAGAACCUUACCAAGUCUUGACAUCCUCUGACCCCUCUAGAGAUAGAGUUUUCCCCUUCGGGGGACAGAGUGACAGGUGGUGCAUGGUUGUCGUCAGCUCGUGUCGUGAGAUGUUGGGUUAAGUCCCGCAACGAGCGCAACCCUUAAGCUUAGUUGCCAUCAUUAAGUUGGGCACUCUAAGUUGACUGCCGGUGACAAACCGGAGGAAGGUGGGGAUGACGUCAAAUCAUCAUGCCCCUUAUGAUUUGGGCUACACACGUGCUACAAUGGACAAUACAAAGGGUAGCGAAACCGCGAGGUCAAGCAAAUCCCAUAAAGUUGUUCUCAGUUCGGAUUGUAGUCUGCAACUCGACUACAUGAAGCUGGAAUCGCUAGUAAUCGUAGAUCAGCAUGCUACGGUGAAUACGUUCCCGGGUCUUGUACACACCGCCCGUCACACCACGAGAGUUUGUAACACCCGAAGCCGGUGGAGUAACCUUUUGGAGCUAGCCGUCGAAGGUGGGACAAAUGAUUGGGGUG